GACGAACCGAGCGAACGUUGUUCGGAAUCACUGGGCUUAAAGGGAGCGUAGGCGGGCUAUCAAGUCUGGGGUGAAAUGCUGCGGCUCAACCGUAGCACUGCCUUAGAUACUGACGGCCUCGAGGAAGAUAGGGGCAUGCGGAACUGUAGGUGGAGCGGUGAAAUGCGUUGAUAUCUACAGGAACUCCGGUGGCGAAAGCGGCGUGCUGGAUCUUUUCUGACGCUGAGGCUCGAAAGCUAGGGGAGCAAACGGG
rnacentral:rRNA from 1 species